rnacentral:ncRNA from 1 species
UUCUCUGGAGAGCUUUCUGUAAAACCCGGGAAACGGGGAAGGAACAGGAACGCCGAAGGUGUAAGGCAGUAAAAACUGCUGAUCUCUCAGGCAAAAGGACAGGGUA